rnacentral:antisense_RNA from 1 species
CUUGACCGACCCCAGCCACAGCGGGCGGUCGCGGUCCUGGCCGUAGGUCGCCUGCAACGCCUGCGCCUC